CAGUAUCAUCGAUUAUUCGCAAUGAGGCUACUGAGUUUGACUGUAUAUGAUUGAGUUUAAAAAAUCUUUUGUCAAAGUAAGUGUGAAUAGUGGAAAGAAGUUUUCACGGAAUUCACAAGUAAACUCGAGUCGAGCCUUCUUGCAUAUGACUAACGAUGGGGUUUGACAAGUUCUCCAUGAUCUCCAUCAAGUCAGGUCUCACAGUAGAAGGAUUAAAUUAUAUGGUAACUACACCUAGAUAUUCAUACUUUUAUUCUGU
rnacentral:lncRNA from 1 species